CCCAGACAGCCAGGAUGUUGGCUUAGAAGCAGCCAUCAUUUAAAGAAAGCGUAAUAGCUCACUGGUCGAGUCGGCCUGCGCGGAAGAUGUAACGGGGCUAAACCAUGCACCGAAGCUGCGGCAGCGACACUCAGGUGUUGUUGGGUAGGGGAGCGUUCUGUAAGCCUGCGAAGGUGGCCUGUGAGGGUUGCUGGAGGUAUCAGAAGUGCGAAUGCUGACAUAAGUAACGAUAAAGCGGGUGAAAAGCCCGCUCGCCGGAAGACCAAGGGUUCCUGUCCAACGUUAAUCGGGGCAGG
rnacentral:rRNA from 3 species